UCCGUAGGUGAACCUGCGGAAAGAUCAUUG
rnacentral:rRNA from 1 species